UACGAAGGGGGCUAGCGUUGCUCGGAAUCACUGGGCGUAAAGCGCACGUAGGCGGCUUUUUAAGUCAGAGGUGAAAUCCUGGAGCUCAACUCCAGAACUGCCUUUGAUACUGGAGAGCUUGAGUCCGGGAGAGGUGAGUGGAACUGCGAGUGUAGAGGUGAAAUUCGUAGAUAUUCGCAAGAACACCAGAGGCGAAGGCGGCUCACUGGCCCGGUACUGACGCUGAGGUGCGAAAGCGUGGGGAGCAAACAGG
rnacentral:rRNA from 1 species